rnacentral:rRNA from 1 species
GACGAACGCUGGCGGCGUGCUUAACACAUGCAAGUCGAACGGAAAGGCCCUGCUUUUGUGGGGUGCUCGAGUGGCGAACGGGUGAGUAACACGUGAGUAACCUGCCCUUGACUUUGGGAUAACUUCAGGAAACUGGGGCUAAUACCGGAUAGGAGCUCCUGCUGCAUGGUGGGGGUUGGAAAGUUUCGGCGGUUGGGUAUGGACUCGCGGCUUAUCAGCUUGUUGGUGGGGUAGUGGCUUACCAAGGCUUUGACGGGUAGCCGGCCUGAGAGGGUGACCGGCCACAUUGGGACUGAGAUACGGCCCAGACUCCUACGGGAGGCAGCAGUGGGGAAUAUUGCACAAUGGGCGGAAGCCUGAUGCAGCAACGCCGCGUGCGGGAUGACGGCCUUCGGGUUGUAAACCGAUUUCGCCUGUGACGAAGCGUGAGUGACGGUAAUGGGUAAAGAAGCACCGGCUAACUACGU